GUAAAAGAUGGCAGCGUGUGCUGUGACAACAAUCUUUCCUAGGAUUAAGAUUUAUAAGGAGAAACCAUAAUGCGGGGCAACAGACAUAAGGCUAAAAGAAGAGCACUUCAUCUGCUCAGCCAUUUCCUGUCCUCCAUUUCCCAUUUUCAAAGUUAACUCUAAAAGGGAGUGGGCUCUUAGGCACUUCCACAUUGCUUCAGCCCUACCCUGAGUUGCUGCUCAGGAAUGUAGGGAAGAUUCCCCAGGAAAUGAACUCAGAGAUGGAAAUUUGAAGGCAGCAAGUUUGGUGGCUAGCGCUCUCUGGAGCAACAGUUAUGAAGAAGGAAGUAGGACAGUCAGGCAGUUACAACAGAAUGUUCAGCCCAGCUAUGGGGCCCUUUACAGUCAUCCUCAAGCCGGGCGAAGGGGUAAGACUUUUGUAUUUCUCUAUCAGCCAGUCCUUAGAGGGAGGCUGUAUCCAGGAUGAAUGUGUAAUCUGACAGGAGCCGUUGUCUUUCUGCUAAAGGCGAUACCUAGGAAAACCUCAGCUGCAUAGUCAGCAGGCAGUAUUUCUUACCACCAGACAAAAAGAAAGAUCAUUCUCAUAGAAUAUGGAGGAUAAAUUAAAGAGAUGCCAAACAGAUGCUAGUUGUGAGACAUCAUGAAAGACAGAAAUAAGAAUAGUGAAAAUAUCAUUGAGUCUUUGACAACUGAGGGGGCCAGCUCCGUGGCCGAGUGGUUAAGUUCAUGCACUCCACUGCAGCGGCCCAGGGUUCAGAUCCUGGGUGCGGACACGGCACCACUCGUCAGGCCACAUUGAGGCGGCGUCCCACAUCCCACAACUGGAAUGACGUGCAACUAAGAUAUACAGCUGUGUACGAGGUUGCGGGGGUGGUUUGGGGAGACAAAGCAGAGAAAAAAAAAAAAGAUUGGCAACAGUUGUUAGCCCAGGUGCCAAUCUUUAAAAAAAAAAAAAAGACAACUGAAGGGGUACUUGCCACCAAUAAGGUUUUAAAUAUAAGUGGAAAUUCAUAUUGACAUGGAGUGGUAGCUUUCUCUUUUUAAGCGGUUAUCCAGAUUCUGCAAAAUUUACAUAUGUAUUUAUUGAAAAUAUCCACAAAAUUUAAAAAUUUCAUAAGGAUAUCACAAAAUUCCUGAGCAUAUGUUACUGAUGC
rnacentral:lncRNA from 1 species